rnacentral:lncRNA from 1 species
AGUAGGGGCGCGGUCUAAUGAUUUGAUUGGCAUCGUGUAUACACGUCUAGUAAGCAGUGGGACCAGGACAGCUGAGGGGGGUUUGAAUUUCCAACUGGGACAGCCACCGCUAAUUUACACACACGAUUACCGAGACUGUUGAUCAUUGUGUAGUAGACUGAAGGGUAGAGACUGUUGAUCAUUGUGUAGUAGACUGAAGGGUAGAGACUGUUGAUCAUUGGUGAUCAUUUUUGGUAGUAGAUGACGUGUAGAGACGUUGAUCCUUGUGUAGUAGACUGAAGGUAGAGACUGUGAUCAUUGUUGUUGUAGUAGACUGAAGGGUAAGAGGGAUGUGUUGAUCCUUGUGUAGUAGACUGAAGGUUAGAGACUGUUGAUCAUUGUGUGUAGACUGAAGGGUAGAGACUGUUGAUCAUUGGUAGUAGACUGAAGGUUAGGAGCUGUUGAUCAUGUGUAGUAGACUGAAGGGUAGAGAUUGUCAUGUUA